UGGCGCAUGAUUGGUUGUUUACUCCUACCGAGGAAAACGGCUCAGGUCCUCUGGAGAGACGGACCUCAUAACAUAUGAGAGAGCCAUGGAGACGCAGCAGAUGAAGGGACACAGAAAGGGGUAGUGAGAAAAACAGCAAAGUGCCAGCUGAGUGUGGGAAGAGUGGAUGAAAACGGGAGUGGGUGAGGAAGUGGGAAGACAUGCAUGAUGAGAAGAUGGUGCAAAAAAUGAGGAUGAAAGAAGAGGAAGAAAACACGAUGGGAGUGACUGGCGACCUGUCCAGGACCCCGCCCUCGCCCAAUAUCAGCUGGGAUUAGAGAGGAUGAGCGGUAUGGAUAAUGGUGGGAUGGAUAGUUUCUCAAACCUACGCCAGGAAUGGAAGGAUGCGUGCAUCAGGGGGCCUACCGGCAGAGGCCCAAGGGCCCAAAGGGGGAGAGAGGACUUCACUUGCAAAACUGUCAGAUACCAACCCCAAAGAGAAACAAAAUGGCUACAGAGAAAUUGAAAACAACUGCAAAGAGAUGCAAAGUGACAAUUAAAGGUGGAAAAAUUCACACAAAAUGACCACAAAGAGGCACAAAGCAACUUCAGAGAGAUGCAAAACGACUACAAAGAGAUAUAAAGUGACCAUAAAGAGACAA